rnacentral:lncRNA from 1 species
CGGCGGGGGAAGGGAAUCGGGGAGGAGCCGAAGGAGAAACAAGAUGUUGGAACACUAGCCGACAGAAGCGACCCUCCAGGGAAGUCCCGCGGGAGCGCGGCGGGAUGAGCUGCCGCCCAGGACUCGCUGAGACACACGCAAGUUCGGAACGUGGUCAGCUCUGCAGACACACAGCCACCGUGGCGCACGCACCGCGGCUCAGCCGCUUUCGCGCGGGAACACCUCCGGCGCUAGGGGCUCCAACAUGGCAACCUUGAACCCACAAACUCGUACACACCGACGCUCAGAUGCCCCGCCCCUCAGGGGGAUCAUACCCCCUCCCCAACUUUUCCAGCUACCUCGCCCCCACCAGCCCCCACCGUCCGGGCGGUGUUCCGCCUUGCACCCCGCCUCCUCCUUUUUGGCGCUCUGGGGUACGCCGCUCUUGCGCCCUCUACCGGCUAAUCUUCACAACCCUGGGACCGCUAGACAGGAAAAACCCGAUUCACACUGAGCAACCAGAGAGGGAUUUAGGAAGACUUCUUUUAGUCGUUAAAAUGUUCUGUCCGUUCUCUGGCCUCACACACAAAAGGAGCUUGAACGGAAAGCCCUCGACUUCCCACAGCCAGACCUACACUCGAACCGUGCUCGACCUACACGGCUCCACCCUCCUUGCAGGGGAGGAUUAGGACGCUCCUCCAGCUUCACACUGAUCUACCCUAGAGGUCCCCUCCCACUUCUGCCCCAGUCUGGUGAAUCUGACAUUGUACCGGGUGCUGAGGUGUCACCCCCUCCCCUUCCCUCAGCUGCCUGUUAUGUCCUUUUCAUCACUUCGGGACCUAGUUUAAAUGCUGAAGCUUACAUUUGAAUGAAAGAAAAUUUAAGAGAUGCCUCUGAUGUAUGAAUAAUAAUAGUUCAUUUAUUUUAUUUAAUCUUAAUGGGAAAGUAACUUUACUGUUAAAGUCAGGAAAAAAAUGGCAGGUUUUAGAGUCUUCAAACACCAUCCUCCUCCACACAGCCUUCCCUGGCCCCACAGCCUGGUAAAGAAGGUCUUUCUCCUCUGAGCCCCCAGUAGCCUCUUCCCCGUAGUCGUCGUCCUACCCCUGCCCUCCUUGAGGCUGAGCUCACCCUCCCUGGGAACAGCCUGGGCUGCCCCGUGCUUUCUCAGCCCUGGCCCAGCCCCUUUCAGGCCUGGUCAAACCUUCUCUGGCCCUCCAGCCCUCACUCAGUGGCCCAGCCUCAGGGAGACACUGUAGUUUCUAGUCUGUGCCUUACCCAGCCCACCUGACAGCUAUGGUUGCACAGUAUGCUUCAUUCUGGCUGCAUGAAAUAUUCCAAUGUGGGAGCAUAGCAAUCCAUUAAUUCAUUGUCUUGUCAAUGGGCAUUUAGGUGUUUCCAGAUGUUUCCAGAGUGCAAUGUGUGACUCUGGGCCAGAAGGACAUAAGUGCUCAGGCACAGAGAAUGUCAUUGUCCAACAUUAAGAGGCUCCAUCAAGCUAGC